CCCCAAAGGAUGGAUUUGUAAUCGCUGAUGUUCAACUAGUUACAAGCAAUUCUCCAGAGGAAAAACAGUCCCCUUUAUCAGCUUUUCGGUCCUCUUCCUCUUUAAGAAAGAAGAAUAACUCAGGGGAGAAAGCACUUCCACCCUGGCGAUCUUCUGAUAAGCACCCAACAGAUAUCAUUCGUUUUAAUUACCUAGACAACUGUGACCCCAUGGAGACUGUCUGGCAAGGAAGAAGAAAAAGAAACCAAAUGACCCCAGAUUUCAGCCGACAGUCACAUGAUAAGAAAAAUAAAUUGCAGGACAGAACUAGGCUAAGAAAAGCACAAUCAAUGAUGUCGAGGAGAAAUCCCUUCCCACUAUGUCCCUAAGUGCCAGCUCUCCCCUAAAAGUUCCAGCUCAUCUCGCCUGGCCUCCCCCUGAGUCAGUGGGACUCCCAGCCACUGCCACCACAGCUGAAAUUCUCAUGCAGCAUCUUCACAGGCACCCUGGGCCCCAAGCAUGACUCAUCCAGGUUCCAGAGCCAAAGUGGACUGAACAUGGAAAGACUUUUAUUAUAGAAAUGACAAGAUGCUUUGCACGGUGGAGAGCUGAAUUUACUUGGCUCGCAUUAGAAACUCUUUCAGCUUAAGUACUUACUGUGGUAGUGAGUCCUACGGCAUUUCAGUAAAAAGGAAUUCAUGGCAUAAAUGUGGACAGAUUUACGGAUGCAGAAACAUGAUGAUAGAUAUCAUGAGGCUGGAGAGCAAAGGGGAGAGAGAAGGUGG
rnacentral:lncRNA from 1 species